rnacentral:rRNA from 1 species
UGGUCUUGACAUCCCGAAAACAUCUAAGAAAUUAGAAAGUGCUUCCAUUAGGAAGAAUUCGGUGAC